CAGGAGGCGAAGCAGGCACAGACACGAGGUACCAACACAGAGCCACCCUCAAGGGCCCGGGCAGACUCACUGGUCCCGAAGGAGGAUGGAGCUGGGCUGCCCGGCACCCUGCCGACCACCGCCGCCCCUAGGAUGCCCUCUCUCCGUCUGGUGGCCCUGAACGCGCCCCUCUCCGGGGACAUGAGCGGCAUCCGCGGCGCCGACCUGCAGUGCUACCGGCAGUCACAGGAGGCCCGGCUCUACGGCACUUUCCGGGCGUUCCUGUCGGCUCCCAGCCAGGACCUGGCCUCCAUCGUCAAGAGGACGGACAGGACCCUC